AGACGGAGGGUGCUAGCGUUGUUCGGAAUCAUUGGGCGUAAAGGGCGUGUAGGCGGUUCGUUAAGUCAUGCGUGAAAGCCCUCGGCUUAACCGAGGAAGGGCGUAUGAUACUGGCGAGCUAGAGUUCGGAAGAGGGGGGUGGAAUUCCAGGUGUAGCGGUGAAAUGCGUAGAUAUCUGGAGGAACACCGGAGGCGAAGGCGACCCCCUGGUCCGACACUGACGCUGAGACGCGAAAGCGUGGGUAGCAAACAGGAUUAGAUACCCCGGUAGUCC
rnacentral:rRNA from 1 species